rnacentral:rRNA from 1 species
UACGUAGGUGGCAAGCGUUUGUCCGGAAUUAUUGGGCGUAAAGCGCGCGCAGGCGGUCCUUUAAGUCUGAUGUGAAAUCCCACGGCUCAACCGUGGAAGGUCAUUGGAAACUGGGGGACUUGAGUACAGAAGAGGAAAGCGGAAUUCCAAGUGUAGCGGUGAAAUGGCGUAGAGAUUUGGAGGAACACCAGUGGCGAAGGCGGCUUUCUGGUCUGUAACUGACGCUGAGGCGCGAAAGCGUGGGGAGCAAACGG